rnacentral:rRNA from 1 species
UGCCCAGCUUGCUGGGCGGAUUAGUGGCGAACGGGUGAGUAAUACGUGAGUAACCUGCCCUUGACUCUGGGAUAAGCCUGGGAAACUGGGUCUAAUACUGGAUACUACCUCGCACCGCAUGGUGGGUGGUGGAAAGGGUUUUACUGGUUUUGGAUGGGCUCACGGCCUAUCAGCUUGUUGGUGGGGUAAUGGCUCACCAAGGCGACGACGGGUAGCCGGCCUGAGAGGGUGACCGGCCACACUGGGACUGAGACACGGCCCAGACUCCUACGGGAGGCAGCAGUGGGGAAUAUUGCACAAUGGGCGGAAGCCUGAUGCAGCGACGCCGCGUGAGGGAUGACGGCCUUCGGGUUGUAAACCUCUUUCAGUAGGGAAGAAGCGAAAGUGACGGUACCUGCAGAAGAAGCGCCGGCUAACUACGUGCCAGCAGCCGCGGUAAUACGUAGGGCGCAAGCGUUGUCCGGAAUUAUUGGGCGUAAAGAGCUCGUAGGCGGUUUGUCGCGUCUGCUGUGAAAGCCCGGGGCUCAACCCCGGGUCUGCAGUGGGUACGGGCAGACUAGAGUGCAGUAGGGGAGACUGGAAUUCCUGGUGUAGCGGUGAAAUGCGCAGAUAUCAGGAGGAACACCGAUGGCGAAGGCAGGUCUCUGGGCUGUUACUGACGCUGAGGAGCGAAAGCAUGGGGAGCGAACAGGAUUAGAUACCCUGGUAGUCCAUGCCGUAAACGUUGGGCACUAGGUGUGGGGGACAUUCCACGUUUUCCGCGCCGUAGCUAACGCAUUA